rnacentral:rRNA from 59 species
UGUGAAGAAGGCCUUCGGGUUGUAAAGCACUUUUGUCCGGAAAGAAAACUUCGUCCCUAAUAUGGAUGGAGGAUGACGGUACCGGAAGAAUAAGCACCGGCUAACUACGUGCCAGCAGCCGCGGUAAUACGUAGGGUGCGAGCGUUAAUCGGAAUUACUGGGCGUAAAGCGUGCGCAGGCGGUCUGUUAAGACCGAUGUGAAAUCCCCGGGCUUAACCUGGGAACUGCAUUGGUGACUGGCAGGCUUUGAGUGUGGCAGAGGGGGGUAGAAUUCCACGUGUAGCAGUGAAAUGCGUAGAGAUGUGGAGGAAUACCGAUGGCGAAGGCAGCCCCCUGGGCCAACACUGACGCUCAUGCACGAAAGCGUGGGGAGCAAACAGGAUUAGAUACCCUGGUAGUCCACGCCCUAAACGAUGUCAACUAGUUGUUGGGGAUUCAUUUCCUUAGUAACGUAGCUAACGCGUGAAGUUGACCGCCUGGGGAGUACGGUCGCAAGAUUAAAACUCAAAGGAAUUGACGGGGACCCGCACAAGCGGUGGAUGAUGUGGAUUAAUUCGAUGCAACGCGAAAAACCUUACCUACCCUUGACAUGGUCGGAACCC